rnacentral:misc_RNA from 1 species
GAUGAAGAACGCAGCGAAAUGCGAUAAGUAAUGUGAAUUGCAGAAUUCAGUGAAUCAUCGAAUCUUUGAACGCACAUUGCGCCCGCCAGUAUUCUGGCGGGCAUGCCUGUUCGAGUGUCAUUUCAACCCUCAAGCCCAGCUUGGUGUUGGGGAUCGGCACAGGCGCCCUCGGGCGCCCGCCGUCCCCUAAAUCUAGUGGCGGUCCCGCUGCAGCCUCCUCUGCGUAGUAGUUUUCUCCUCGCAAGGGCAGCUCGGUGGCGACCUCGCCGUAAAACCCCCAACUUCUGAAAGGUUGACCUCGAAUCAGGUAGGAAUACCCGCUGAACUUAAGCAUAUCAAUAAGCGGAGGA